rnacentral:rRNA from 1 species
AACGAACGCUGGCGGCGUGCCUAACACAUGCAAGUCGUGCGAGAAAGUUCCUUCGGGAGCGAGUAAAGCGGCGCACGGGUGAGUAACACGUAGGUAACCUGCCCCCCAGUCUGGAACAACUAGAGGAAACUCUAGCUAAUGCCGGAUGAGACCACGAUCCCUUCGGGGGUUGCGGCCAAAGAUGGCCUCUACUUGUAAGCUAUCGCUGAGGGAUCGGGGCCUGCGGGCCAUUAGCUUGUUGGUGAGGUAACGGCUCACCAAGGCUGUGAUGGCUAGCUGGUCUGAGAGGAUGACCAGCCACACUGGGACUGAGACACGGCCCAGACUCCUACGGGAGGCAGCAGUGGGGAAUAUUGCGCAAUGGGCGAAAGCCUGACGCAGCGACGCCGCGUGGGUGAUGAAGGCC